AGAGUUUGAUCAUGGCUCAGGACGAACGCUGGCGGCGUGCCUAAUACAUGCAAGUAGAACGCUGACUACUUUAGCUUGCUAGAGUAGAAGGAGUUGCGAACGGGUGAGUAACGCGUAGGUAACCUGCCUACUAGCGGGGGAUAACUAUUGGAAACGAUAGCUAAUACCGCAUAACAGUGUUUAACACAUGUUAGAUGCUUGAAAGAUGCAAAUGCAUCACUAGUAGAUGGACCUGCGUUGUAUUAGCUAGUUGGUGGGGUAACGGCCUACCAAGGCGACGAUACAUAGCCGACCUGAGAGGGUGAUCGGCCACACUGGGACUGAGACGCGGCCCAGACUCCUACGGGAGGCAGCAGUAGGGAAUCUUCGGCAAUGGGGGCAACCCUGACCGAGCAACGCCGCGUGAGUGAAGAAGGUUUUCGGAUCGUAAAGCUCUGUUGUAAGAGAAGAACGUGUGUGAGAGUGGAAAGUUCACACAGUGACGGUAACUUACCAGAAAGGGACGGCUAACUACGUGCCAGCAGCCGCGGUAAUACGUAGGUCCCGAGCGUUGUCCGGAUUUAUUGGGCGUAAAGCGAGCGCAGGCGGGUUUAAUAAGUCUGAAGUUAAAGGCAGUGGCUUAACCAUUGUUCGCUUUGGAAACUGUUAAACUUGAGUGCAGAAGGGGAGAGUGGAAUUCCAUGUGUAGCGGUGAAAUGCGUAGAUAUAUGGAGGAACACCGGUGGCGAAAGCGGCUCUCUGGUCUGUAACUGACGCUGAGGCUCGAAAGCGUGGGGAGCAAACAGGAUUAGAUACCCUGG
rnacentral:rRNA from 1 species